rnacentral:rRNA from 1 species
GACGAACGCUGGCUGCGUGCUUAACACAUGCAAGUCGAACGCUGAAGCCGACAGCUUGCUGUUGGUGGAUGAGUGGCGAACGGGUGAGUAACACGUGAGUAACCUGCCCCUGAUUUCGGGAUAAGCCUGGGAAACUGGGUCUAAUACCGGAUACGACCACCUGACGCAUGUCGGGUGGUGGAAAGUUUUUCGAUCGGGGAUGGGCUCGCGGCCUAUCAGCUUGUCGGUGGGGUAAUGGCCCACCAAGGCGACGACGGGUAGCCGGCCUGAGAGGGCGACCGGCCACACUGGGACUGAGACACGGCCCAG